rnacentral:miRNA from 1 species
UGCAUAUUUUGUUAACAGGAUAUUAAUAAAAGUUGUUCGUCUUGAUGAUGGCUACAGCUUUGCUUAAUAUCUUUUCAACCAAUUAUGCGUAUUUAAGGAGAUACGUCUGCGCAUGCGCAGAAGCGUAACUUUUUACGCUUGCAUAUUUUGUUAAGAGGAUAUUAAUAAAAGUUGUUCGCCUUGAUUAGGGCUACAACUUUGCUUAAUAUCUUUUCAACAAAUUAUGCG